rnacentral:lncRNA from 1 species
GGCUAAAAGCAUGCAAUGGAGGAAGGAUAGCAUCUUCAACAAAUGGUGCUGGGAAAACUGGAAAUCCAUAUGCAACAAAAUGAAACUGAAUCCCUUUCUCUCGCCAUGCACAAAAGUUAACUCAAAAUGGAUCAAGGAGCUUGAUAUCAAAUCAGAGACUCUGCGUCUGAUAGAAGAAAAAGUUGGCUCCGAUCUACAUAUUGUGGGGUCGGGCUCCAAAUUCCUUAAUAGGACACCCAUAGCACAAGAGUUAAUAACAAGAAUCAACAAAUGGGACUUACUUAAACUAAAAAGUUUUUUCUCAGCAAGAGAAACAAUAAGAGAGGUAAAUAGGGAGCCUACAUCAUGGGAACAAAUUUUUACUCCUCACACUUCAGAUAGAGCCCUAAUAUCCAGAGUAUACAAAGAACUCAAAAAAUUAAACAAUAAGAUAACAAAUAACCCAAUCAACAAAUGGGCCAAGGACCUGAACAGACACUUCUCAGAGGAGGACAUACAAUCAAUCAACAAGUACAUGAAAAAAUGCUCACCAUCUCUAGCAGUCAGAGAAAUGCAAAUCAAAACCACCCUAAGAUACCAUCUCACUCCAGUAAGAUUAGCAGCCAUUAUGAAGGCAAACAACAACAAGUGCUGGAGAGGAUGUGGGGAAAAGGGUACUCUUGUACAUUGCUGGUGGGACUGCAAAUUGGUGCGGCCAAUUUGGAAAGCAGUAUGGAGAUUCCUGGGAAAGCUGGGAAUGGAACCACCAUUUGACCCAGCUAUUGCCCUUCUCGGACUAUUCCCUGAAGACCUUAAAAGAGCGUACUACAGGGAUACUGCCACAUCGAUGUUCAUAGCAGCACAAUUCACAAUAGCUAGACUGUGGAACCAACCCAGAU